ensembl:lncRNA
GGUCGUAAAUGGGUCUUCCAAAUGGACAAUGACCCGAAGCAUAUUUCCAAGUAUCCAAGUUGUGGCAAAAUGGCUUAAGGACAACAAAAUCAAGGUAUUGGAGUGGCCAUCAGAAAGCCCUGACCUCAAUCCUAUAGAAAAUGUGUGGGCAGAACAGAAAAAGUGUGUGGAGGCCUACAAACCUGACUCAGUUACACCAGCUCUGUCAGGAGGAAUGGGCCAAAUUUCACCCAACUUAUUGUGGGAAGCUUGUGGAAGGCUACCUGAAACGUUUGACCCAAGUUAAAAUUUUUAAAGACAAUGCUACCAAAUACUAAUUGAGUGUAUGUAAACAUCUGACCCAUAGGGAAUGUGAUGAAAGAAAUAAAAGCUGAAAUAAAUAAUUCUCUCUACUAUUAUUCUGACAUUUCACAUUCUUAAAAAAAGUGGUAAUCUUAACUGACCUAAAACAGGGAAUUUUUACUAGGAUUAAAUGCCAGGAAAAAAAGUGAGUUUAAAUGUAUUUGGCUAAGGUGCAUGUAAACUUACGACUUCAACUGUAUGUAUGAUAAGCAGACAGGUAGUAGUUAGUUACAGUUCUGUGGUCUGAUAUGUCCUGUUUACCAUCAGAGCAAACUGUACAGGUCUGAGACUCAUGACUUCAGGUUGAUCAAACUGAUAAACUGAUUGUUAUGAUUAUUGCUCUCUGUUUGACAUUGACUGUUUGCAGACAUUAGUCUAUAGCUAUGGGAUAAAUGGCUUAUUCUAGUCUGGGUGCCCAUCAAAUGGUUUGGCUUCCUUCUCAAGCUGAUUUUCUCUUGAGUAUACCUUCACACUCACAUGCAGAGACAUGGGUGCAUACACACACACACACGCACGCACGCACGCACGCACGCACACACACACACACACACACACACACACACACACACAGAGUAGUAUCAGUCCUUCUCUGUGAGAGAGAGUGGGGUCUUCAGUGGUGGGAGUCUCCAGGUGUGCUUCGUCUGCUCCAGGUUGAUGUGGAUUGCUGCUGCUGUCUGCGUUGUUCUACUCAAGGCAUUUAAAGUUCUCCUCUCCAGAGCUUAGAAACUGUCAGUCAAAUCCACAGGAUCAGAUCACGACUGCUUCAGUUCUCAACAAGCCCCUUUCCACAAUAAGUCACACACAGGGCCCUGCUGUCCCAGGUUCUCCAAUCCCAGCUCCAGCCCUUUAUCCUCGUGCCCUUAAGGUCCAAGGCCAGGUUAUCUCCCUCUUUCCUGUGUUCUCAGUAAGGCAUCUCAGCAAUGGUGCGGAGUGUCGAAGGGUUGGUCUGUCUGUCGGUCUGACUGCUUGCCCUGGAUUCAGGGUAAGGGCAUGAUAUCAUGGUGACAUCAUCAAACCUCAGAGCUGUUGUCCUCCGCUGCACCACUUUUCUAAUGUCUACUUCCUCCUUUAGUUUGGGACUUCCUCCUGCAUGUUACAGAGAUCAGAGGGCUGUUCUAAGUGCUAUGAGCCGUCCUCUCCCCUCCUUCAUUCCCUAUCACUACACCUCGACAGGGGAGGUCUCCCUCGUGGAAUGAACCUAACUGAAACGUCCACAGAUGUGGAGGGAGGAACUGAAAAGGAGACGCUUUAAUUCAGAAUGAAACAGGGCACAGAAGGGCUGAAUUCCUAAUGGAACGGGGUCCAGAGGGUCUUCAUUUAGAAUGGAACCGGGCCCAGAUGGGCUUCAUUCAGAACGGAACGGGGCCCAGAAGGGCUUCAUUCAGAAUGGAUUGGGACCCAGAAUGGCUUCAUUCAGAUUGGAACGGGGGCCAGACGGGCUUCAUUCAGAAUGGAACGGGGGCCAGAGGGCAGCCAGUCAGCCAAUCUGUGGAUCUCUAGUGGCUUGGUUGAGUUAGACUGGGACAGGGCCAUUCUUACUGUGGCUCUCUAGUGCUUUGAUACUGCUCACAAUGUUCUUCUGGGGGCCGACGAUAGUCACACCAACCUUCUUUAGGUCCC